ACGCUGGCGGCGUGCUUAACACAUGCAAGUCGAACGGAAAGGCCCUGCUUUUGUGGGGUGCUCGAGUGGCGAACGGGUGAGUAACACGUGAGUAACCUGCCCUUGACUUUGGGAUAACUUCAGGAAACUGGGCUAAUACCGGAUAGGAGCUCCUGCUGCAUGGUGGGGGUUGGAAAGUUUCGGCGGUUGGGGAUGGACUCGCGGCUUAUCAGCUUGUUGGUGGGGUAGUGGCUUACCAAGGCUUUGACGGGUAGCCGGCCUGAGAGGGUGACCGGCCACAUUGGGACUGAGAUACGGCCCAGACUCCUACGGGAGGCAGCAGUGGGGAAUAUUGCACAAUGGGCGGAAGCCUGAUGCAGCAACGCCGCGUGCGGGAUGACGGCCUUCGGGUUGUAAACCGCUUUCGCCUGUGACGAAGCGUGAGUGACGGUAAUGGGUAAAGAAGCACCGGCUAACUACGUG
rnacentral:rRNA from 1 species